AGGACGAACGCUGGCGGCGUGCUUAACACAUGCAAGUCGAGCGGUAAGGCCUCCUUCGGGGGGUACACGAGCGGCGAACGGGUGAGUAACACGUGAGUAACCUGCCCUGGACUUUGGGAUAACCCUCGGAAACGGGGGCUAAUACCGGAUACGACAACUCAUCGCAUGGUGUGGUUGUGGAAAGUUUUUCGGUUGGGAUGGGCUCGCGGUACUAUCAGCUUGUUGGUGGGGUGAUGGCCUACCAAGGCGACGACGGUUA
rnacentral:rRNA from 1 species